GACGAACGCUGGCGGCGUGCUUAACACAUGCAAGUCGAACGGAAAGGCCCUGCUUUUGUGGGGUGCUCGAGUGGCGAACGGGUGAGUAACACGUGAGUAACCUGCCCUUGACUUUGGGAUAACUUCAGGAAACUGGGGCUAAUACCGGAUAGGAGCUCCUGCUGCAUGGUGGGGGUUGGAACGUUUCGGCGGUCGGGGAUGGACUCGCGGCUUAUCAGCUUGUUGGUGGGGUAGUGGCUUACCAAGGCUUUGACGGGUAGCCGGCCUGAGAGGGUGACCGGCCACAUUGGGACUGAGAUACGGACCAGACUCCUACGGGAGGCAGCAGGGGGGAAUAUUGCACAAUGGGCGGAAGCCUGAUGAAGCAACGCCGCGUGCGGGAUGACGGCCUUCGGGUUGUAAACCGCUUUCGCCUGUGACGAAGCGUGAGUGACGGUAAUGGGUAAAGAAGCACCGGCUAACUACGUG
rnacentral:rRNA from 1 species